CCAGGAAGCAGAAAUCAUUGACAAACUUUGUAAUCAAUGAGGAAACGGACAGUUCUUCCCGCCCAAAAAAGAAAUCAAAUAAUAAAAAGGUGAAGACAAAUGAAGAGGAUUUUGCCAUUAAAAUCAUCAAUGAUAUAUGCAAAAAUUUCCAACUGGAUGUUAAAGAAGUUCUAGCAACUCUGGGAUCAACCAAUGGUGAUGUGAACCAAGCCAUUUCUUACAUCAAAUUUGGACCUGAAUUAUCAGGUGUGUUACCAUGGACACAGGAGGAAGAUGCCAUUAUUUCAUCAACAGAUGAGCAGCAAUUUAGUGGAAUUGUUCAAAAGCAUGGGCAAGUUGCUGUAGCCGAAAGACUUCAAUUUCUGGAGAAUUUGUAAAUGUUCCCUCAUGUUCAUCCCCCGCAUCCCAAGGAACAACAGCAACCUUCACCAUCUGUAUUAUAUAUCUGUCUCUGUUUUUAUUGAGAGAGAGAGAGUGUGUAGAUGUGUGUGUGUGUGUAACAGUUGUUGUGGGAGAGAGUUAUAACAACGACUGGUAUGGACUGAGUCCUCAGCUAUAGUGCAUGUAUGUGUGUAUGGUUAUAUGUAUAUAUUUGUGUGUGAGUGUGCUUAUAUGUAUUUAUUUUUUAUAUGUUUUUUUUUUUUUUUUUUUUUUUUUUUUUUUUUUUUUUCAUGAAUGAGCUGCUCCACAUUGGUCACCGGAGUGAUAUUUGGUCACUUUACAGAGUGUCGGUUAGGUGUCUGGAAUGGGACGGCUUACCUCAUGGGCAGGUAGAAGCUCUUUAACCUUG
rnacentral:lncRNA from 1 species